AAAGACUGUUGCACCUGUCCUUCAUCCAAUCCAAGUUCAGGGAGCAUGGAGUGUUCUUGGAAUAGAUCUGAUUGGUCCCCUUCCUACCACUGCAAAGGGCAAAAGGUUUAUUCUUACAGCCACAGAUCUCUUCACAAAGUGGGUUGUGGCAAAAUCCCUCUACACUAAAACAGCAACUGAGGUGUCAAAAGAAAUUGUCAAUAUUCUUCUUGAUUUUGGACUGGUAGAGAGGAUCAUUACUGAUCAAGGAUGGGAAUUUGUAAACGAGGUACAAUUGUGUACUUUAAAGCCAUGAAUUAGCAACUUAGAUUAUUUGUAAUGGAUAAUACUGUAUUUUCUAAGGUGUACACUAAUGUGUCUGCAGGCCAGUCAGUCGUGGUGUUUUUGAGGCUUUGAAUGUCAAACAUUGCAUUACAUCAGCCUACCAUCCCCAAGCCAAUGGACAGGAUGAGCGCACCAACCAAAAUAUAAAGACAGCACUGGCCAAAUACUGUGGGGAGGAUCAAAAUGAUUGGGACAUCCAUUUAAGAGGAAUUGUGGCGGGGAUCAACACAUCUAAACAGAGAUCAACCAAGUACACACCUUACUGUGCUAUGUUUGGAAGACAACCUCGCACACCUGGUGUGAUAAACAUCACCCAAGAAGGGGGGGAUGACAGAUCAGUUGUUGUAGAGGAAACAGAGGAUCAUCUGGAGGCCAAGACUGCAGCAGUUGCUGAUCUGCAUGCAAAGGUGAUUAUGAAAUGGAAAUCUAUUCGUCUAAAAAACUACAAUGUAAUGUUUUGUUUUGAAUAAUCAUUUUAUGAGCAUUUUAUAUUUUCUCAGAUUUACCAGAAUAUUAAAAAUGCACAGGUCAGACAGAAGAAGGAAUAUGAGUCCAAAAAAGACGUCAUGUGAAAUCCUUCCACUUCGAAGUUGGUGAUGAGGUCAUGAAAGCAAACAAAUGAAAGGAAGGUCGAAAAGGAGGGCGGCUGGAAGCCAACUGGUCUGGGCCCUACGUAAUAGCCUCACUUUCAGAGAAGGGUGUGGCAACGCUGUUGAACAAAUCAGGGAAUCAGUUUAAACAAAGCAUUAAUGUUUCACAGCUGAAGCCUUUCAUCAGCCCUGAACUAAGAGGUAUUAUCAUUGUUCUUAUAAAGACACAAUGUAGUAUGUGUAGAUCUGUGAUAUUUGCAUCACCUUCUCUUCAGAGUCCAAAGAGCCAGACAUGUCAACCACUCAAGGUGAUAUCUUCCAAGGUAUAUUUAUGAAUGCAGUUUAGUCAGUCAGUAUGGGUAUAGUAGUAAGGAACAGAACCUAUUUGUACUCAGAAGAGAUGUCUUUUUGAAUUUUAACUACUAACAAUUAUAAUUUGCAAGUGUUUUAACCACUAACAGCGGUGCAGGAGCCAGUUUCUAGUCAGCUGGUAACGCAGCAGGCUACACAUGAUCAUGACUACUUGCCUGGUCAGGGAUGUAAACAGACUAUCAACCCAGUUCAAGCCAUGCUGGUGGGUAUUAAUGUCUGCUGUGAAUGAAAUUUUUAAAUGUAUAUUGUUUAAAUCUCACAAUGUGUUUUCUAUUUUUAAAGUACAUUUUGCAAUUUAUUAUUUUAAGCUCAACUAUUUACUUGAUAAAAACCGAUCUGGAACAGAGAUUGUUGUCAAGGAUGGGGAUGUCUGUCUGACACGGGAAGACUUCUGGAGCUUGGGCCUUCCUCAAUGUAUGGAAGCCAAUAUUGGAAAUGCAUGCUUCAGACUUGUCAAAGAAGCUGCCCAAAGACAU